AUAAUUUUAACAUUAGCUUAAUAAUAAAAAUUUUAAAUCUGUUCUUAUCAGUUUAAUAUCGGCUAUGUCCUUUAUUUGAGGACUGUAUAUUAAAUUGAUUUUUGAAACAGGGGGCUGGAAUAAGAGCUUGCUCUGUCCACAGCAUGCAUUGACCUGGUAUUGCAGUGCCUCUGGGAAUGGUGCAUCUCCU
ensembl:snRNA U2 U2 spliceosomal RNA